AUGCAAAUACCACUGGUCAAUGGCAGGGAGGGUUUGCGUGGUUCACAGGAUCCAGCCAAAUGGUUCCCCCCAUGCAUACAGAAGCUGGAAGCUCUCAGUUCCAAGGAUCGUUUUCCGCUCUCCACCUGCAGGGGGAUGUAUCAAAUGUCCAUGAAUGAAAACACACAACCACAAGGACCAAGCUUUCUCGAAAUGUUAGGCCAUGGAGAUUGGUUGUUCAAUCAACCACCUAUCAUGCAACCACAAACAACAGGAAUGUACAACCCCGAACAAAUGAUGGGAUAUGCCGGCAGCAUACAGUCAUACGGAGAACCAUGUAGCUACGGUGGGGGCUCGUCAACAGCACAACACGACAUAGGACCAUUGCAACAUGAUGAACCACCACCAAUAACUCAGCCAGCCCAAGACUACGACGAUGUUGAUCUCCGCGGUGUUGAAGUCGUCCGUAGGUCUGUCCGCGAGCGAUAUUCACCUGAAAGAUUAUCUUUGUCAGGGCGCAGACCUCCAACUGGUGCUAGAAGAAAGUGUCACGUCCUGAUAAAUUCAUCCGCUUCAAACAGCAACCAGAAGGAAGCUUCUCCUGUGAAUGAUAGCAAUACGCAGUCCUAACACAUCAUCA
rnacentral:lncRNA from 1 species